GACGAACGCUGGCGGCGUGCUUAACACAUGCAAGUCGAACGGGAUCCGGGCUUUCUUGUUUGGUUAGAGUGGCGAACGGGUGAGUAACACGUGAGUAACCUGCCCCCUUCUUUGGGAUAACGUCGGGAAAUCGGCGCUAAUACUGGAUAUUCUUUCUGCAUCGCAUGGUGUGGUUUGGAAAGAGUUUCUGUUGGGGGAUGGGCUCGCGUCCUAUCAGCUUGUUGGUGGGGUGAUGGCCUACCAAGGCUUUGACGGGUAGCCGUCCUGAGAGGGUGUCCGGCGACACUGGGACUGAGACACGGCCCAGACUCGUACGGGAGGCAGCAGUGGGGAAGAAUGGACAAUGGGCGCGAGCCUGAUGCAGCGACGCCGCGUGAGGGAUGACGGCCUUCGGGUUGUAAACCUCUUUCAGUAUGGAACAAGGAUACUUCUUUUGGGGGGUUUGAGGGUACGUGAAGAAGAAGCGACGGCUAACUACGUG
rnacentral:rRNA from 1 species